rnacentral:tRNA from 1 species
AGCUCAGACGGUAAAGCGUCUGCCUGCAAUGUGGGAGACCCAGGUUCGAUUCCUGG